UACGGGGGGAGCAAGCGUUGUUCGGAUUUACUGGGCGUAAAGGGCGCGUAGGCGGCCAGCACAAGUCAGUUGUGAAAUCUCCGAGCUUAACUCGGAAAGGUCAACUGAUACUGUGCGGCUAGAGUGCAGAAGGGGCAACUGGAAUUCUCGGUGUAGCGGUGAAAUGUGUAGAUAUCGAGAGGAACACCUGCGGCGAAGGCGGGUUGCUGGGCUGACACUGACGCUGAGGCGCGAAAGCUAGGGGAGCGAACGGG
rnacentral:rRNA from 1 species